CGGAGAGAGAGACGCAGUGAAGCGGGUCGUGGUGGUGGAGAGUUGAGACAGAGGAGGAAGAAAGAGACAAAAAACAAGCAAAAAAAAAAGAAAGACAGAAGAGUGAACGAAAAUAAGCCUAUGUAAAAAAAAUCGGUAGAAAAAAGGAAUAAAAAAAGACUGACAGAAAAAGAAAUGAAAAGAAGGAACAAAAAGAGAGAAUAAAAAAUAAGUAUGUCUAGAUUAUGAGAGUAAGAUAAAGACAAGAGAGUAAAGAGAGAAAAUAUUGCUCGUAAAAGUAUUGUAGGAAGAAGAUAAAAGGAGGAGGAAGAUAAUACAGUGACGCAUGACAUAUAUUCAAGACAAACAUAGCGAGGAACCCUCGUCACACACCUCUGAGACAACCAAGAGUGGCGCUGUGACGUGGACAGGUGAGGCGUGACGUGAUGGGGACACCUGCCGAGCCCCUUGAGUUGACAGGACGUGAGGAGGUGAGGUGGAGGUGGGCGAAGUGAGCGUCUGCCAGAGGAGGUGGAGGAGGAGCUGGAGGAGGAGGAGGCGUGAGGUGAGAAGGAGCAGAGACGAUAUAGCUGGAAGUGCCGCAUGACGAGAAGGAGAACACAGAGGAGGCAGAGAAGAGAUAAAGAGAAGAGGACCCAGUGCCACGUGUACAUUGCCUCCACAGCCGCCGCCACUGCUCUUCAAAGGUCAUCAUGUGUACCAAC